UUUUUUUUUUCUUUGAAAUAAUUUAUUAUUUAUUUUUUUAUUACUAUUCAUUAUUUCUCUAAAUUCUUACAACAUGACAGCAUUCUUUUCAAUGUUGUUGGUUGUGAGCUCCACGAUUUUUUUUCCUUUACUUGAUCCGAACCAGGUUGUCAAGUAUAAGUGCAAUCUUGAAUCGGCUCAAGUCUUCGAAAUAAUUUCAUUUUUCUUUGCUUGAACCAAACAUGAUUUUUCUGUCUUUAUUUAAAUCAGACCGAGUCAAAUUACUUCAUUGGGCUGAACCAGACCAAUUGCUUUACACAUUUUCAUUUUUGAACCCCAUUUUUCUUUUAUUUGUUUGAACUGAACUGAUUAUAGUUGAGUGAAGCCUUUACCCCAAACUAGCUCAAGUUUUCUUUUUUUUUGGCCUUAGCCAAACCGGUGCUCUUUUUUUUUGCUUGAACUGGUCUGCUUCAUUGGAUCGAACCAGACCAAUUGAUUCAUAGUUUCCAUCUUUGAACUUGAUUUUUUGUUGAGUGAGGGCUCCAUGUUGAAUGAUUGUAUUAAUUUGUAUAAGCACCACACUCUAAACCGAACUCGCUUAUUUUUUCUUAUAAAUUAUUCUAUUAUUAUCUUAAUAGUUUGCGGAAUAAAAUUAUUAAGCUUCAACUAACGAUAAUAUUUUCUUUCGGACGUAAAGCGCGAACACUUUAUAAUUAUAUAUUCUCAAUAAUAUAAUUUUCGUCAAAUAUUAUUCUAUCCGUAACAAAAAAACAUAUAUUUUUUUUGUUUUCUUUUGCUUCUCUAUAUUGAAUUUUUGUUUGAAUACUAAUUCUGAAAUUUAUUUAGCAGUGAAAAAAAAUAUUUUUAACUAAUGAUAAUUUAUUAAUAUUGUGUUAUUUAACUAAAAUAUAUUUUCUAAUAUUAAUUAUAAAUUAAAUAUAAUAUUAA
rnacentral:lncRNA from 1 species